GUAUGCACCUCUUGCGAAAUGAAAUUUCCUAUACAAAACCUAUGCAUAAAAAACGUCGCGAAAUGUUCGCGAAAAAUUUUUUCGUUUCCAUUUCGUAAGCGGUACGCAGCUCUCGCGAAAACGAUAACGAAAAAUGUAGUUAGCUGAGACACGGUUCGACAAACGAUAAGUUUCAUAAUACUUCCGCGAGACAGCGCUGCUUUCUAUGCGCUGUCACCAAGGCAAACUUUUUCCUUGCGAAAUAAUGGUCAGCGGUAUUAUUUCGCACGGAGGCUCGCGAAAUUUUGACAGGUUGCAAUGAAAAAAUAUAAGAAAACACAAGAUUGGUAAUUUUUUGUAUUUUUUUCAUCGCAACCUGUCAAAAUUUCGUUGUUUAGAAAUUCAAUAUUUCGAAUUUGAAUGAUCGAACACCAACAACAUAAUAUGGUAAUCACCCAGCAAGAGAACGCAGUGAUAAUGGGCCAACAGAAACCACAACAUCAAGAUGCUCGGAAAGGACUUUCUCUUUCGAACAAACAAUGGCACGUCAUGUUCAAUCGGCUAACCGUUUGGAAUAAGCGCUCAUCAUCGGUUUCAUGGCAGGGAAGUGAGCAUGUAAAAGAAGGCAUCGUUUUUUCCGCAAGGUCGCUCUGGUCAAAAUUUCAGCGGAUUGCAAGGAAUAAACCACCCGAGGGACAGUACCCGUGCUGAUUCAGGACGAUUACCCAUACUUUGUACCUUGCUAUUGAAUUUUAAUACCCGAUCGGAACGAUGGCAAGCGCUGCCGAUAACUGGGUCAAAAAGACAACGGAUAAAGAAAUUUCUGCACUCGGUUAGCGAACUGAGUACAUAUCACCAAGGAUAAGGAUUCAGAGCCGGCGGCUGGCAAGAAAGAGAAUGCGGAAAAACCUAGUCCACCGGCAGUAGAACCAAAGCUGCACCUGAUGUUUGGAGUUCGGUAGCUUCGGAAAUUCUAACUCUAGCAGCUCCUGAAGAAAAACAAGCUGCAAGAGAAAAUGGAGAAACAGCUUCCUCCGCGGAAGAUGCAGAGGCAUUCAACCCGGCGGAUGCAAGUUUGCUAAUGAAGGAUGUUCGCUAAGAUCUAGUAGAAUCAAAGCUGGAUCUGAAGGUGCAUCGGAAGGAUUCUUCUUCGCCGGUUGGUUGGUUAAAACUUUCGAAGCUUUGCACAUGAAGCCGGAAUUACUUCAGGGAGUCUAUGCGAUGGGUUUCAACGCCCCUUCCAAGAUUCAGGAGAUGGCUCUACCUACUCUGUUGGCCGGUCCGCCAGGGAAUAUAAUCGCCCAGUCAGUCGGGAACAGGAAAAACCGCUGCCUUCGUGCUGGCAACGCUCAGUUGAGUCCAUCAGUUAAAAAACUAUCUG